UCAUCGUACCGUCCCAUUUCUUCGAGGUCCCUUUGGUGCCGCUUUCCUCGAGAAGCCCUGCUCCUCCCUUUCGCAAGCUUCCCGACGCUGUUGCCACCACCCGAUGCGGAUCGUCGCCUUCUUCCCAACCCCUCGAUGCCUUCCCUUGAGGAGGGCGUUGUUGCUGAGCUUCCUUGGGAUCCAGAUUCGGUUGGCUGCGGCCGAUCACAGACCUGGAAACCCGAGUUUUGGUUUCCCGCUGAUUUUGAUGUGUUUACAAGGUGAGAUUCGUUUAUUCCUGAUUCCCCGUGCCUUACUCGUUGGUGAUCUUGAAUCUUGAAACGAUAAAUUGCUCUGUGAUGCCUACUCUCUAAUUAAUAUAAGUUCAUGCUUGUGAUCUUUUUUAUCUUGAAACGACAGAGUUCUUAGUCGGUUGUGCCUUUUCGUUUUCUUGGUUCUGAGAUCCGUGUCUUCUUGAUCUCUCGUGCUUUACUCGUUUGUGAUCUUGAAUUUAGAAAUGCUAAGAGUUGUUAAUCUAUAUGAUGCCUAUUCUCUAAUAUAAGUUCAUGCUUGUGAUUUUUCUUAUCUUGAG
rnacentral:lncRNA from 1 species